GCCAGGCACAGUGGCACAUACCUGUAAUCCCUGCUACUUGGAAGGCUGAGGCAGGAGGUUUGCAAGUUCAAAGCCAACCUUAGCAACUUAGGGAGGCCUUAAACAACUUUGUGAGACCCUGUCUCAA
rnacentral:sRNA from 1 species